rnacentral:lncRNA from 1 species
UGGAAAUUUCAAAAGGCAAGAAAUGUUUUGCCAUACUUAUGAUAAUAUAUGUGGUGUCCCAUACAUCCCAUUACCUAUAUGGUCGAUGACUAAUAAUAUCUAGGAGGCAUCAUUUACACCACAUCUUAACUUCCAAGGAGCAUUAUACUUGUGGCAACUUUGAAGAAGAAAUAGAUAAGGCUAUGAGAACUUUAAUUCAAGACAUCUAUAUUUGCCUAGAAUGC